CCUACGUGAGGCAGCAGUGAGGAAUAUUGGUCAAUGGGCGCGAGCCUGAACCAGCCAAGUAGCGUGAAGGAUGACUGCCCUACGGGUUGUAAACUUCUUUUAUAAAGGAAUAAAGUGAGGCACGUGUGCCUUUCUGUAUGUACUUUAUGAAUAAGGAUCGGCUAACUCCGUGCCAGCAGCCGCGGUAAUACGGAGGAUCCGAGCGUUAUCCGGAUUUAUUGGGUUUAAAGGGAGCGUAGGUGGGUUGUUAAGUCAGUUGUGAAAUUUUGCGGCUCAACCGUACAAUUGCAAUUGAUACUGGCAGUCUUGAGUACAGUGGAGGUAGGCGGAAUUCGUGGUGUAGCGGUGAAAUGCUUAGAUAUCACGAAGAACUCCGAUUGCGAAGGCAGCGUACUAAGCUGCCACUGACAUUGAUGCUCGAAAGUGUGGGUAUCAAACAGGAUUAGAUACCCUGGUAGUC
rnacentral:rRNA from 1 species